AGACUUCGUGGAGGACCGAACCCACCAGGGUUGAAAACCUGGGGGAUGACCUGUGGUUAGGGGUGAAAGGCCAAUCAAACUCCGUGAUAGCUGGUUCUCCCCGAAAUGCAUUUAGGUGCAGCGUCGUGUGUUUCUUGCCGGAGGUAGAGCACUGGAUAGGCGAUGGGCCCUACCGGGUUACUGACCUUAGCCAAACUCCGAAUGCCGGUAAGUGAGAGCGCGGCAGUGAGACUGUGGGGGAUAAGCUCCAUGGUCGAGAGGGAAACAGCCCAGAGCAUCGACUAAGGCCCCUAAGCGUACGCUAAGUGGGAAAGGAUGUGGAGUCGCAGAGACAACCAGGAGGUUGGCUUAGAAGCAGCCAUCCUUGAAAGAGUGCGUAAUAGCUCACUGGUCUAGUGAUUCCGCGCCGACAAUGUAGCGGGGCUCAAGCGUACCGCCGAAGUCGUGUCAUUCACACAUUAGGGCCAACGCCUGUGUGGAUGGGUAGGGGAGCGUCGUCUGCCGGGUGAAGCAGCCGUGUAAGCGAGUUGUGGACGGUUGACGAGUGAGAAUGCAGGCAUGAGUAGCGAUUCACACGUGAGAAACGUGUGCGCCGAUUGACUAAGGGUUCCUGGGUCAAGCUGAUCUGCCCAGGGUAAGUCGGGACCUAAGGCGAGGCCGACAGGCGUAGUCGAUGGAUAACCGGUUGAUAUUCCGGUACCCGCUGUGGAGCGUCAAACAUCGAAUCCAGUGAUGCUAAGCCCGUGAAGCCGCCCGCUUUCAGCUUUGCUGUUGGUGGGAGUGGUGGAGCCGGUGACCCGAGCUGGUAGUAGGUGAGUGAUGGGGUGACGCAGGAAGGUAGUCCAUCCCGGGCGGUGGUUGUCCCGGGGUAAGGGUGUAGGACGUCAGGUAGGUAAAUCCGCCUGGCAAUAGUCUGAGACCUGAUGCCGAGCCGAUUGUGGUGAAGUGGAUGAUCCUAUGCUGUCGAGAAA
rnacentral:rRNA from 1 species